AAUGGGUCAGCGACUUAUAUUCUGUAGCAAGGUUAACCGAAUAGGGGAGCCGAAGGGAAACCGAGUCUUAACUGGGCGUUAAGUUGCAGGGUAUAGACCCGAAACCCGGUGAUCUAGCCAUGGGCAGGUUGAAGGUUGGGUAACACUAACUGGAGGACCGAACCGACUAAUGUUGAAAAAUUAGCGGAUGACUUGUGGCUGGGGGUGAAAGGCCAAUCAAACCGGGAGAUAGCUGGUUCUCCCCGAAAGCUAUUUAGGUAGCGCCUCGUGAAUUCAUCUCCGGGGGUAGAGCACUGUUUCGGCAAGGGGGUCAUCCCGACUUACCAACCCGAUGCAAACUGCGAAUACCGGAGAAUGUUAUCACGGGAGACACACGGCGGGUGCUAACGUCCGUCGUGAAGAGGGAAACAACCCAGACCGCCAGCUAAGGUCCCAAAGUCAUGGUUAAGUGGGAAACGAUGUGGGAAGGCCCAGACAGCCAGGAUGUUGGCUUAGAAGCAGCCAUCAUUUAAAGAAAGCGUAAUAGCUCACUGGUCGAGUCGGCCUGCGCGGAAGAUGUAACGGGGCUAAACCAUGCACCGAAGCUGCGGCAGCGACGCUUAUGCGUUGUUGGGUAGGGGAGCGUUCUGUAAGCCUGCGAAGGUGUGCUGUGAGGCAUGCUGGAGGUAUCAGAAGUGCGAAUGCUGACAUAAGUAACGAUAAAGCGGGUGAAAAGCCCGCUCGCCGGAAGACCAAGGGUUCCUGUCCAACGUUAAUCGGGGCAGGGUGAGUCGACCCCUAAGGCGAGGCCGAAAGGCGUAGUCGAUGGGAAACAGGUUAAUAUUCCUGUACUUGGUGUUACUGCGAAGGGGGGACGGAGAAGGCUAUGUUGGCCGGGCGACGGUUGUCCCGGUUUAAGCGUGUAGGCUGGUUUUCCAGGCAAAUCCGGAAAAUCAAGGCUGAGGCGUGAUGACGAGGCACUACGGUGCUGAAGCAACAAAUGCCCUGCUUCCAGGAAAAGCCUCUAAGCAUCAGGUAACAUCAAAUCGUACCCCAAACCGACACAGGUGGUCAGGUAGAGAAUACCAAGGCGCUUGAGAGAACUCGGGUGAAGGAACUAGGCAAAAUGGUGCCGUAACUUCGGGAGAAGGCACGCUGAUAUGUAGGUGAAGUCCCUCGCGGAUGGAGCUGAAAUCAGUCGAAGAUACCAGCUGGCUGCAACUGUUUAUUAAAAACACAGCACUGUGCAAACACGAAAGUGGACGUAUACGGUGUGACGCCUGCCCGGUGC
rnacentral:rRNA from 1 species